GACAGAGGAUGCAAGCGUUAUCCGGAAUGAUUGGGCGUAAAGCGUCUGUAGGUGGCUUUUCAAGUCCGCCGUCAAAUCCCAGGGCUUAACCCUGGGCCUGCAGUGGGUACGGGCAGACUAGAGUGCGGUAGGGGAGAUCGGAAUUCCUGGUGUAGCGGUGAAAUGCGCAGAUAUCAGGAGGAACACCGGUGGCGAAGGCGGAUCUCUGGGCCGUAACUGACGCUGAGGAGCGAAAGCAUGGGUAGCGAACAGG
rnacentral:rRNA from 1 species